rnacentral:lncRNA from 1 species
AUGAAGGAAGAAAUUGCUGAAUUAACCGCAAAAAUUUCUGAGACGAUCAUAACCAAGUUUGGACAGGCAGUAGACGUGGACUCUUUAGAAGAGAUAGUUCUGCGAAGGCUUUUGGGUGAAAUUAGAUCCACUCUACCAGAGGUGGAAGAGGAGAUGUGGAAAGAAAAAGAACUGAAAUUGGAUAAUCUAAGGAGGAAGGAGGAGUUGUUGACAGCUUUGACCAAAAAAAACACAGAGAAAGCGGAACUACUUACCACUCUAGAGGAGGAAUAUGGAAAACUGAAACAUACGAUUGAGAAACAAGAAUACUUGAAGAACACCAAGAGUGUGAAAAUUGGAGACGAGUGGCGAUAUGACAUCAAUAAACUGAUGAAAAUAAGAAACCAUUUAAAUCUAAAGCAAGAAAUCCUCCAGAACGAGAUCAGGAGCUUGAGUUUCAAGGGUCGACCACUUCCUCCAAUCGUGAGUCCCCCUCCGCCUAAAAUCGAAGAUUUGGACGAUGGUCUGUCCAAGGCAAUCCCCAGCUCUCUUCCCUGCAUUGAUAGAACACUGAAGAAACAAUCCAAAAAAGUCUUACUGCCGACAAAUAUGGAGGACAAUCUUCAGGAGUGGCUCCUUGACAAAAUCGAAGCGAUAAUCGCACUUUUGGAUUCGCCCUCUUCUUUCAAGGACCUGGUCAUCAAGCAGCUUAUUGAUGAUUUGGCCAGUGCAAUUGAAAGUAGUAGUGUAAAAGAGGACUUCGUUUUGCUGUCAAAAGAAACACUAGAAACAAUUCUGGAGAUGAUUCAGGUGGAGAUUGCCCCUCAGACGCCUUCUAGAGCAUCAAUGGAGAAGCUCGUCAAAGAGACCCUUCAGUCACUGUAUAGGUCAAAAAUUGCCGUUGUCAAAAAAGUGCCUCUGGGAUCUGAGGAGCUGAAAUACGAAGAAGAGCUGGACAGAACAUCUGCAGCAAUUGUGGAGUCCACACUUAAAAGCGUCUUGGAACGCAUGAAGAGGAACUCAGCUCCUUCAAGCCUUGAUUCAACAAGUUAAGUGGAAAAUUGUUGCCAAAAAUGCUCAGUUAGAUGAGCUGCUUAUUGAGCUCUUAACGCUCUUUCAUCAAAUGGCUUUCAUUGAUGACUUCUAGGUUAAAAAAGCUGGUAAUAACCAAAUACCGAUCCCUUCUCCAAAAAGAAAAAAAGAAUCAAGAGACAGAAAUAACUUGUGAAAAGAUGAUGAAUUCAAUGAGUCAAAUACAUUCUUUUUAAAAGUUUAUAUUAUUUUUUUAACGCCUUUCUUAAUAUGAUACAAUUACUGUACAAUUUUACAAUCUUUUAGAUAAUAAUCUAAAUAAUGACUAUUCACAAAACAAGAAAUAUAAGGUACCAGUUGAAAUAAAGCCAGAGAUUUGGAGGAUAUUUGCAUUGAGGAGAACUAUUCCUACUUCCUUUCUAGUCCAAGAAGAAUUACUCCGCUUCAAUUUCUUAUUGAAAAAGAGCAAAGCAUGCACCUACAUUUUCCUCUUGGGAGAUGAAGACAAAAUACUUAAGCCAUUUAUUUAUUCCAAAUACCAGAUUCAUGUAUGAAGGGUAUUGGAUUUACUCUGAACUUUCAGUUCAGGCUAUUCAUCUUGUAAGAUAUUUAAAAAAAGAGGAAAAUCAACAGUAGGUUGAUCUAAAAGACAGUGAGUACUCUUGGGUUAAAUUUUGAACACCAAAAGCAAAAAGGGAAUAAAUAUAACUGUGCAGCAUCCCCAUUUGCAAACUAGACUUCAUCAAAUUAUUGUAUUUCAGUUACAUUAACUUUUUUAAAUAAAAUAUAAAAUGGAGAAACUGAUCAGUAAUCAUUUCAAGUCACACUAAUCACUAGAGAGAAUAGAUAACUACCCCUUAUAAUAAUCUUCCCUCUACUCCUUUGAUAGCACAAAUGAUUCCUAUGGAUAAGACUUAACAAAUGUGACUUCAACAGAAAGAAAUUUUGUUCCAUAACUAAGCUUCAAUCAGUACUGAUAUACGAACACUGGUUUGCAAAAAUCGUUCGGAAUUAAAAUUUUAUUUUUUUGGUCUUACGUAAACAGGCAGAGCGAUAAAAGGCGUAGAAUAGUAGCACACCACACUUAUCUUGACCCAAUAAAAUUUCGGAGAACCGCACAAGAAACAGAUCAUAAAAACACUUAAAGUUAUUUGCGCCUACAAUUUUACGCGCCAGUGACUUUAAGUGUUUUUAUCAUUUUCUGUGAUCCAUUAUGGAACCUUUGCCUUUGGUAUCCAAUCAUAUUGUUAAUGAGAUGGAAUGUGAAGAUUGCGUUUGGAUUACUGGAGUUCAGUAACAGGGUAACAAAUGGUCACGAAUCAAGAUUUGCUUGAAAAGUAAAUGUCAUCCGAAGAAACAUCAACAGAUGCAUUGUUUAAAAUAUUACCGGUGAGACCUCAUCAGGUAAAUACUGCUUGUAAAUAAAAAUGGCAUGUUAAGAAACAGUCAAAGAUAGCUACUUAAGAUUUCAGAUUAAAACCAAAUAAAAGACUUUUUUGUAAUUUUCUAGUUAAGUUGGGUUUAAGAAUGAUGAUAACUGUGCAAAGGCUGCAUGGAAUUCAAAAGCCACCUCUGAAUUUUUUUCAUUGCAAAAAUGAAUUGAAUGAUUAUGCCUUGGACUUAUGUUUUGAAAAUAAGAAAAUAAGCGGAAAGAUGCUCGUAAUUUUCAUUUGCUGAUUCUAUCGGAUCCGUUAACUUCAAUAGCAAGUAGGCACCCCGAAAAAGUGACCUAAUAUUCAGUUCAUUUAGAAUACUGACAUACUCAUUUAAAACGUACUCUUUCUAACAGUUAAUGCUAAAAAAAAAAAAAAAAAAAAUUAUAAAAUUGUGAGAGAAAAAAUUAAAAUUAUUAAAAACGAAAAAUAAUGAGUUAUUACAUUUGCUGUCAAAUUAUUUUGGUGUGUAUUUUAUUUUCUCCCAGGCCACAGAAUUUUGAAAAAAAAAAAAAAAUGUGUCACAGUAAAAUUGUGUUGUGCCGAAACCAUUAAAGUCCACUUUUCUAUCUUUCAGUUUUUUUGUGUUCAGAAUACUUCUCAAAAGCCAAUGCAAUCGUGAAAGUGGUGUAAGGACUUGCUUUGGAAUUACGGUAACCCUAAAACGAGUCUUUACACCACCUCUAUGGUUUAAUUGACUUAAAAAAAUUAUUUUCAACAUGGGUAAUAAGUUAGGUGUUGUAUACAGAUUGUAAAACUACCAGACCACAUAUCUCGGUUUACGACAUUGCUGACUUUCUGUCGUACUUAAUUUUUUUGUGGAAAACUAUUCAACAUCAAUCCUUGAAUACUUCCAUGAUUUUUUUUCUCUGUGCAUGCAAAGAAAACUUCAAGGAAUGAUACUGAUUUCUUCUUUUACAAAAAAAUUAAUUGAGGAGGGCAGGUUUAUUAAGGUUCAAAAUGUGUUGCGUCAUAAGUGUACACAGAUUUAGAGCCAACGCAAAUAAUGUAAUUGUAAAGGAGUGUAGUGUAGUCACCUUUGAUGGUAAGGGGAUUUACCCGGUUAUUCCGGGUUUGAUUCUCCACCAGGUGAUCUGAGUUUGAUGGUCUCAGGCAAUGGUCACCUGGGGCUAGGGUAAUAAGCGUGGGAGUCGAUAGGCUAUUUGAAAUUUGUAAAAAAAAAAAAAAAAAAAAAAAAUAAAUCAAGUGAGCAUCAUUUGAUCAGCUAUCAUUCAUCAAACAUGAGCUUGUCAAAAGGACUGGCAUGGUGGAUAAUUUGUUGAAGAACAAAUAAAUUACCGAUAAAAAUGACAUUUUCUAAAAAAUGAAAAGCACAGAAGCACCAGGUGCGUUUUCCGAUUCUUUAACUUAGAUAAAGCA